GGGGAAUAUUGCACAAUGGGGGAAACCCUGAUGCAGCGACGCCGCGUGGAGGAAGAAGGUCUUCGGAUUGUAAACUCCUGUUGUUGAGGAAGAUAAUGACGGUACUCAACAAGGAAGUGACGGCUAACUACGUGCCAGCAGCCGCGGUAAAACGUAGGUCACAAGCGUUGUCCGGAAUUACUGGGUGUAAAGGGAGCGCAGGCGGGAAGACAAGUUGGAAGUGAAAUCCAUGGGCUCAACCCAUGAACUGCUUUCAAAACUGUUUUUCUUGAGUAGUGCAGAGGUAGGCGGAAUUCCCGGUGUAGCGGUGGAAUGCGUAGAUAUCGGGAGGAACACCAGUGGCGAAGGCGGCCUACUGGGCACCAACUGACGCUGAGGCUCGAAAGUGUGGGUAGCAAACAGGAUUAGAUACCCUGGUAGUCCACACCGUAAACGAUGAUUACUAGGUGUUGGAGGAUUGACCCCUUCAGUGCCGCAGUUAACACAAUAAGUAAUCCACCUGGGGAGUACGACCGCAAGGUUGAAACUCAAAGGAAUUGACGGGGGCCCGCACAAGCAGUGGAGUAUGUGGUUUAAUUCGACGCAACGCGAAGAACCUUACCAAGUCUUGACAUCCUGCGACGGACAUAGAAAUAUGUCUUUCCUUCGGGACGCAGAGACAGGUGGUGCAUGGUUGUCGUCAGCUCGUGUCGUGAGAUGUUGGGUUAAGUCCCGCAACGAGCGCAACCCUUAUGGUCAGUUACUACGCAAGAGGACUCUGGCCAGACUGCCGUUGACAAAACGGAGGAAGGUGGGGAUGACGUCAAAUCAUCAUGCCCUUUAUGACUUGGGCUACACACGUACUACAAUGGCGUUAAACAAAGAGAAGCAAGACCGCGAGGUGGAGCAAAACUCAGAAACAACGUCCCAGUUCGGACUGCAGGCUGCAACUCGCCUGCACGAAGUCGGAAUUGCUAGUAAUCGUGGAUCAGCAUGCCACGGUGAAUACGUUCCCG
rnacentral:rRNA from 1 species